rnacentral:lncRNA from 1 species
UUUUUUUUUUUUUUUUUUUUUUUUUUUUUGUCUUUUUGCCUUUUCUAGGGACACUCCCAUGGCACAUGGAGGUUUCCCAGAAAAUACAAAAAAAAAAAAAAAAAGCUGAGAAUCUAACACUGAUUAUAGACUUAAAGACUCAAAAUGGAAUUACAUAAUUGAUAACACUUCAGUUUUGUUUUCAGAAACCUUCUGACUUUACCAAAAUCCAUUCCUCUGACUAAAGAAAUGAUAGAAUCUUAGAAAGAUGGCAGAGAAUAUGAGGCUUUAAAAUCACAGACUUAUUAAGGAUGGAAACAGCAUUAUUUGGGUCUUCACAAGACCCAAAGACCUUGUAUGCUAUACUUACAGCUAAAGUCAGGCAGCAACAUACAAAUGAACUUUUAAUUUCUCCCAGGAUGCACUGAGUAUUUUCUUACCUUUUGGUGACACUGCCCUUUUAAGUGAGCCACAGCGAAUGAGGCCUGACACACCUCCCCACCCUAGUCAGGCUCCUCGCCCCCUUCCACAGUUGUAGACUCCAGAGCUGCAGCCGAGGCCAGACUUCUCUGCAGUGUCCCAGCCACAUAUAAUCAGCGGCCUGAUAGGCAGUGUCACUCACUGUCCCUUCCACAAAUGCCUUGCACUUGUGACAAGACAGAGGCAGCCCCCGCCUCGGCCACACAAAGAAGCCAUCAUUUGUUCUUAACCUGCUUGGUUUGGAUGGGUGUAGAUUUAAUGAGAACAGAGGAAGCUAUUCUGCUUAACAGUAGAUGGUGAACCCUCAACUGAUCUGGUUAAUAUCUCUUCUUUGUUCUUUAGCAUUAGGCACUACGAUAACUUUAUCUGAAACUAAGGCACGGAGUUCCCCGGUGGCUUGGUGGGUUAAGACUCAGGCAUUGGCCCUGCUGUGGCUCGGGUUCAGGUUUGAUCCCUGGCCUGGGAACUUCUACAUGCUGCAGGUGUGGGGAAAAACAAAACAAAACCAAACUAAGGCAAAACUUGUAUUUCCUGAAUCUUGGAGUAUUUCGCCUCUCCCUUCUCUAACCAACAGUAGGUAUUUUUACCAUUUUAAUAUUCAUUUGACCUCUAGGCACUGUGCACGGAAGGACCUACAGGACAAUCUUAGCACCGCAAUGACAUGUAAGACCAGCCAUAAGUACAUUUUGUGCAGAAAUACAAGAAGACAUUUAAAACCAAAUGAGACAAACUCCUCCUAACNNNNNNNNNNNNNNNNNUCACACUCUUCCUGCUAAUGAAAGACAAGAGAGGACGUCUAAACUGCCAAAGAAUCAGAAAUUGUCCCCAUAAACAGAGCGAUGAUGCCUCUUAAUGCUUAGCAAGUGCAUGCUACAGACUGACACGGAUAAAAUGCCCUAAGAUCUGCAGGUAAGUUAAGUCUCCAUUUCUUUAUUUCAUCUCCUUUCAAUAAGGAGCCACAGCUGCUCAAAGGUGGGGGGGAAGGGGGGUCAGGGAAAGGGAGGAAAGAUUCUAGAACUAGAGGUAAAGGCCGCUAUCACCUACUCGGACUCCCGCCAAAGCGGGGGCCAUCCGAGAUGCCCAGCUCUCUUACUUUCUUAUUCUCUCCAACUCAUUCAGCCACUUUUUGAGCCAAGCUAAUGUGUUUACUGCAGCUGCUGGGGAUACAGAACGGACUGAGGCAAUUCUGAUCCCUCAGUGAUUCCUGGGGAGACAUGAGAAAAGGGACUUUACGGUGUCAGGAAGCAAGUGUCCUUCUGACCGACACACGGCAGCUGGCGAAGGAUGCCCAGGCAGGCUGGCGAAGGAUGCCCAGGCCAGGCCUUGCAAAGAAGAUGGGAGGUGAGCCUGAAAGAAUGGUGGGACCAGGCAAGCUCAGGGAAAGGGGAUGUCCCCACCGAAGCAGGGCAGGAAGACAGGAGCACAAACCAACACCCAAAGCACACUGUUAGGAGACUAGGGGCCUGAGUUAUUUAUCCUAGAUGAGAACUGAAGGAUUUCAAACAAGGGAAAACCUACCUAGAAACACGGAGAAGGUGUUGGGGGUGUUUCUUUAAGAAACGUAUCCAUAGGUAUCCAGACAAAAAAAUUUAACUCAAUCCUAAAUUUUAAAAGGGGAGAAGAGUUAGAAGAUACUGGGGGGGGGGGGGGGUUUUAAAAAAAAAAAAAAAAAGAAAUAGUCCUUUUUCUUGGUAAUUUUAAGGUAUACUAUCCCUGAAGUCUAGAUUUGCAAAUAUAAACUAAAUUUCUUCAUACAUCUCAUAAACCAAAUGCAUCUUAAUACAUUACUGAAUAAAUAUACCUGUGUUCCCCUUUAUAAUAACCUUGGUUUUAUUGUGAUGCUAGUUCCUGACCUGCCAUUAAUUAAGAACCUAAUACACAGGUAUCAAAGCACUAGAGCUUUUAUUGCUAUUAAAAACAGAAUGUGAAAGCAUAAAGUUGCAAAGUACCUCUUUACAGUCGUAUCACAGGAGAGCAAAGGACCAAUCCUCUGAGCAUACUAUUUAAGGCCCUGGAAGACACCAUCUCUGGGUACCUUCCCAGGUUAAUUUCCGAUGUGCUUUUUCCCUAACUUCAUGAACAGACAGUGUAUCUUUGGCCCAUGUGGCUUAACCUUUUAUAAGUACUUUAAAUGUUUUUUUUAAAUAAUUAUUGACAUUUGGGUUGUUCUUUUAAACUUCUAGCAAAGAAAACAAUGAAAAAAAUGCUUUAAAAAAAGCAUUUUGAAGUGAAACAACUUUAUAUCAGCAUUUGAUGGCCACAAAAUCAAAUAAUCCUCCAUCAAUUCAAAUUAGUAAUUCUUCCCAAGAAGGGAACAGUUUCAAGUAUUUUGCUAGUUAUUUCUUCAUUAACUUAGUUCAAUAUUUUCCCCAUGAGGGGAUUAUUAGGACAUCAAAAUGUGGCAAAUGUACAGUAAACACCUUAUAUGGCGAGAGAGAGAGAGAGCGAGAGAGAGAGAGAGAAGGAGAGAGAGAGAGGUUCCUUCCUCUUUACAGAAAAGCCAGACCACUGACCUUGAACCUGGAAUGGGCUAAGGCAGGGAAACAUAAGGAUACUCAAUGGACAUCUUGCUACAUCAGAUUCAAAUCAGUUUAUUCUGACUCCCGGUCCUGCUUUAACCUCAUGUCCUAAUUCUUGGUUCCUUGCUACCCAAGCCUCUGACCUACACCUAAGCACCCAGCUCGUCCCUACCUCAGUCUGCACCCUUUCCCACCACCACCGUGUUUUUCCCACUCCUGGUCACCAUCUCACCCCACUCUGAGAUCUUUCGGAACUUAGAAUUCAGAGUUCGAACACCAAGCCCAGACUCUCACCUGACAGUGACCCCCUACGGAUCAGACCUUCACCCAUUUCGGAGAGGAAAUCCUCGCUCGCAUCCUUCUUAAAUAAAGAACUCAGAGUUCCUGACAUGAUUCAGUAGAAACAAGUCUGACUAGCAUCCAUGAGGACGCAGAAUCAAUCCCUGGCCUCGUUCACUGGGUUAAGGAUCCGGUGUUGCCAUGAGCUGUGGUGUAGGUCGAAGAUGCAGCUCGGAUCUGUGUGGCUGUGGCUGUGGCAAAGGCUGGCAGCUACAGCUCCUAUUCGCCCCUUGGCCUGGGAACCUCCACAUGCCACAGGUGCGGCCCUAAAAAGAAAAAAAAAAAAGAACAGAACUCACAUGUGGAGGCCUGCAUCUAACACCCUGUGGCCCUUGCAGGGACGAGUGUCUGCCAUUCACCCUAGACUGCCCUGAAAUCAACUGAUCAACUGUCCUGGACAGCCUCUUGCUUCAGGGAUCCGCCCAGACCCUCUGCCCCAAACAGUCAAUGGGAUGCCAUCACCUGCCAGCCCCUGAAGGGCCAGUUCUAAUAAGAAUGGUCCCAGGCUCUGCGGGAAACACAAAUAUGUACAGGACAUGAUUCACACCUUCCAGAAGCUUAUAUUCCAGGAAGGAAGCUACAACAAGUACAACUACGGGGAGAGUCGCUAAGUACUAAAGGCCUAAAGAAGCAGAAAAGAGCUCUCUUUGUAUUUUUUGUAUGAUAUGUGAGUAGAGCUUUCAAGGGUGAAGAUGAUUUUUAUACACGGAGACCGAAGAGCUGAAGCACAGAAAAUGGGCGUUAAGAACAGUGAGAGAAGCAUAAAGAUAAGGCAGAGAAGCCAGAGAGAGCACACAAUAUAUCAAAAAAAAAAAAAAAAAAAAAAAA